rnacentral:rRNA from 1 species
UACGGGGGGGGCAAGCGUUGUUCGGAAUUACUGGGCGUAAAGGGCUUGUAGGCGGCCAACUAAGUCAGACGUGAAAUCCCUCGGCUUAACCGGGGAACUGCGUCUGAUACUGGAUGGCUUGAGUUCGGGAGAGGGAUGCGGAAUUCCAGGUGUAGCGGUGAAAUGCGUAGAGAUCGUAAGGAAGACCAGUGGCGAAGGCGGGUCUCUGGACAGUUCCUGACACUGAGGCACGAAGGCCAGGGGAGCAAACGGG